rnacentral:rRNA from 1 species
GACGAACGCUAGCGGCAGGCCUAAUACAUGCAAGUCGAACGGUAAGGUCUCUUCGGAGACUACGAGUGGCGCACGGGUGCGUAACGCGUAUGCAAUCUACCCUCCGGUGGGGAAUAGCCAGUGGAAACGCUGAAUAAUACCCCGUACGAUUCACGAAUCGCAUGGUUUGUGAAAGAAAGCUUUGGCGUCGGAGGAUGAGCAUGCGUCCCAUUAGCUAGAUGGCGAGGUAACGGCUCACCAUGGCGAUGAUGGGUAGCUGGUCUGAGAGGAUGAUCAGCCACACGGGCACUGAGACACGGGCCCGACUCCUACGGGAGGCAGCAGUAAGGAAUAUUGGUCAAUGGGGGCAACCCUGAACCAGCCAUGCCGCGUGCAGGAAGAAGGCCCUCCGGGUCGUAAACUGCUUUUAUCAGGGAAUAAACCUCCGAACGUGUUCGGAGCUGAAGGUACCAUACGAAUAAGGAUCGGCUAACUCCGUGCCAGCAGCCGACGG